rfam:Pongo abelii chromosome 1.
GUGCUCACUUCGGCAGCACGUAUACUGAAAUUGGAAUGAUACAGAGAAGAUUAGCAUGACC